rnacentral:misc_RNA from 1 species
GAUGAAGAACGUAGUGAAAUGCGAUACGUAAUGUGAAUUGCAGAAUUCAGUGAAUCAUCGAAUCUUUGAACGCAUAUUGCGCUCUUUGGUAUUCCGAAGAGCAUGCUUGUCUGAGUAUCAGUAAACACCUCAACCUCUUCUUGAUUUUUCAAAAGGAGGGUGGACUUGAGCUAUCCCAACAACCUUUACCGGUCGGCGGGCGGCUUGAAAUGCAGGUGCAGCUGGACUUUUAUCUGAGCUAAAAGCAUAUCUAUUUAGUCCUCGUCAAACAGGAUUAUUACUUUUGCUGCAGCUAACAUAAAGGAUAAUUGUCCUCUUUGCUGACUGAUGCAGGAUUUUACGACACUUUAUGUGUUGUUCAACUCGAUCUCAAAUCAAGUAAGACUACCCGCUGAACUUAAGCAUAUCAAUAAGCGGAGGA